CCAGUAGUCAUAUGCYUGUCUCAAUGAUUAAGCCAUGCAUGUUUANNUACAGGUUGUCUAUGACAACGAAACCGCGAAUGGCUCAUUAAAUCAGCUAUUAUUUAUUUGACUAUAAAUAAUUAAUAUGGACAACUGUAGUAAUUCUAGAGCUAAUACCUGCCACUAUAUCUUGAUGUAACAGUUGAGAUGGCUUUAUUAGAACAAAAUCAACCAGGUCUUUUGAUUUGGAAGGUUUGUUGACUCUUGAUAAUCAGUACAGUUCGCAUGAUUUUAUCAGCGAUAUGUCUUAAAAGUGUCUGCCCUAUCAGCUUUCGACGGUAGGAUAAUGGCCUACCGUGGCGAUAACGGGUGACGGGGAAUCAGGGUUCGAUUCCGGAGAAGGAGCCUGAGAAACAGCUGCUACAUCCAAGGAAGGCAGCAGGCGCGUAAUUUACCCACUCCGGCACGGGGAGGUAGAGACAAAUAAUAACAAUGCGGUGCACUUACGUGUAUUCGUAAUUGGAAUGAGAUGAUAUUAAAUACUUUGUCAAGUAUCAAUUGGAGGGCAAGUCUGGUGCCAGCAGCCGCGGUAAUUCCAGCUCCAAUAGCAUAUAUUAAAGUUGCUGCAGUUAAAAAGCUCGUAGUUGAAUUCAAAUUGUAACCGCUGGUUUAUCUUUAUGGUAUUUCUGGUGGAAGUGUUUUGUUAGUCGUGACCUUUUGAUGAUCUUAAUCGGUUGUCAUUUGUAAUCGACGGGUUUACUUUGAUGAAAUUGAAGUGCUCAAAGCAGGCCUAUGCCUGUACAGUGUUGCAUGGAAUAAUGAAAUAAGACUUCGGUUUUAUUUUGUUGGUUUUAAAGACUGAUCUAAUGAUUAAAAGGGACUGCCGGGGGCAUCUGUAUACCAGGGGGAGAGGUGAAAUUCGUAGAUCCUUGGUAGACAACCUAUUGCGAAAGCAUUUGCCUAGAAUGUUUUCAUUAAUCAAGAACGAAAGUCAGAGGUUCGAAGACGAUCAGAUACCGUCCUAGUUCUGACCAUAAACUAUACCAUCUUGUAAUUACGAGGAGCUUGUCUCUAAGUGGCAGCCCCCGGAAACUAAAGUUUUUGGGUUCCGGGGGUAGUAUGGUUGCAAAGCUGAAACUUAAAGGAAUUGACGGAAGGGCACCACCAGGAGUGGAGCCCGCGCUUAAUUUGACUCAACACGGGAAAACUCACCCGGUCCGGACACUAAGAUGAUUGACAGAUUGAUAGCUCUUUCUUGAUUUGGUGAACAGUGGUGCAUGGUCGUUCUUAGUUGGUGGAGCGAUUUGUCUGGUUAAUUCCGAUAACGAACGAGACUUUAACCAGCUAAAUAGUAUACUUGUUUUUUGUAGCAAGUGAUACUUCUUAGAGGAAUAAGCAGCUUUUAGCUCGACCGAGAUUGAGCAAUAACAGGUCUGUGAUGCCCUUAGAUGUCCGGGGCCGCACGCGCGCUACAAUUGCUGUGUAACNAUGUUUUAUGGACUGAAAAGUUUGUGAAACCAUGAAUUACUAGCAAAAGCCGGGAUCAUGGAUUGUAAUUAUUCCMUGUAAACGAGGAAUUCCUAGUAAGAGUACGUCAUCAGCGUGUUCUGAUUACGUCCCUGCCCUUUGUACACACCGCCCGUCGCUACUACCGAUUGAAUGGCUUAGUGAGGUUAUUGGAUUUGUGUUGGUGAUGUGGAAACAUAUUACUGAUAUGGAAAAGAUAAUCGAACUUGGUUAUUUAGAGGAAGUAAAAGUCGUAACAAGGUUUCCGUAGUGAACCUGCAGAUGG
rnacentral:rRNA from 1 species